CUUUUAUGGAGAGUUUGAUCCUGGCUCAGGAUGAACGCUGGCGGCGUGCCUAAUACAUGCAAGUCGAGCGAACUGACAGGAGUG
rnacentral:rRNA from 1 species